ACGCACCUGCAGAGGGUGCAGCCGGCUCCAUAAAAAGAUCGUGCAGGUGAUCGGAGUCUGUAUCACCCGGUAAUCAAAGUAUCUACUUUGAUUUUAAGUUUUUC
rnacentral:sRNA from 12 species